GAUGAACGCUGGCGGCGUGCCUAAUACAUGCAAGUCGAGCGAACGGACGAGAAGCUUGCUUCUCUGAUGUUAGCGGCGGACGGGUGAGUAACACGUGGAUAACCUACCUAUAAGACUGGGAUAACUUCGGGAAACCGGAGCUAAUACCGGAUAAUAUUUUGAACCGCAUGGUUCAAAAGUGAAAGACGGUCUUGCUGUCACUUAUAGAUGGAUCCGCGCUGCAUUAGCUAGUUGGUAAGGUAACGGCUUACCAAGGCAACGAUGCAUAGCCGACCUGAGAGGGUGAUCGGCCACACUGGAACUGAGACACGGUCCAGACUCCUACGGGAGGCAGCAGUAGGGAAUCUUCCGCAAUGGGCGAAAGCCUGACGGAGCAACGCCGCGUGAGUGAUGAAGGUCUUCGGAUCGUAAAACUCUGUUAUUAGGGAAGAACAUAUGUGUAAGUAACUGUGCACAUCUUGACGGUACCUAAUCAGAAAGCCACGGCUAACUACGUGCCAGCAGCCGCGGUAAUACGUAGGUGGCAAGCGUUAUCCGGAAUUAUUGGGCGUAAAGCGCGCGUAGGCGGUUUUUUAAGUCUGAUGUGAAAGCCCACGGCUCAACCGUGGAGGGUCAUUGGAAACUGGAAAACUUGAGUGCAGAAGAGGAAAGUGGAAUUCCAUGUGUAGCGGUGAAAUGCGCAGAGAUAUGGAGGAACACCAGUGGCGAAGGCGACUUUCUGGUCUGUAACUGACGCUGAUGUGCGAAAGCGUGGGGAUCAAACAGGAUUAGAUACCCUGGUAGUCCACGCCGUAAACGAUGAGUGCUAAGUGUUAGGGGGUUUCCGCCCCUUAGUGCUGCAGCUAACGCAUUAAGCACUCCGCCUGGGGAGUACGACCGCAAGGUUGAAACUCAAAGGAAUUGACGGGGACCCGCACAAGCGGUGGAGCAUGUGGUUUAAUUCGAAGCAACGCGAAGAACCUUACCAAAUCUUGACAUCCUUUGACAACUCUAGAGAUAGAGCUUUCCCCUUCGGGGGACAAAGUGACAGGUGGUGCAUGGUUGUCGUCAGCUCGUGUCGUGAGAUGUUGGGUUAAGUCCCGCAACGAGCGCAACCCUUAAGCUUAGUUGCCAUCAUUAAGUUGGGCACUCUAAGUUGACUGCCGGUGACAAACCGGAGGAAGGUGGGGAUGACGUCAGAUCAUCAUGCCCCUUAUGAUUUGGGCUACACACGUGCUACAAUGGACAAUACAAAGGGCAGCGAAACCGCGAGGUCAAGCAAAUCCCAUAAAGUUGUUCUCAGUUCGGAUUGUAGUCUGCAACUCGACUACAUGAAGCUGGAAUCGCUAGUAAUCGUAGAUCAGCAUGCUACGGUGAAUACGUUCCCGGGUCU
rnacentral:rRNA from 1 species